GCCUGCUUUCCGGUUCUUUUCCCAGAGGCCUGCCUACCACCAAAUCCUAGGGGAAGUUCCCCUAGAGGGAGUGAGAAGCCGGAAGCCCUCAAGUUGAGGGCGGGGCCAGAGGGCCUGGAUGGCAGCAGCUGGGGCUGGGCAAAGCUGCUCCACAAGGCCCAGGAUUCCAGGGAGCAGCUGUUUCCUGGCCCUCUACUCACAGUUUUCUGCAUGGAAAUCAGGAACAAACUGCUCAUCACUGUCCGGUACCUGAGCUGUAGAAAGAGGCCAGAGGUGGGAUACAGCCGAGCACCUCUCCCGACCCCAGAGUCUUUGCCCACGUUUGCCCCUCUCUCAAGAAUCAAUAGAUCACAGAAGGAAGGGGAAGGGUAGACACCGAGAGGGACUUCCUAUCAGUCUGGGAAGAGACUGGCUUGAAGAUGAAGCAAUGGAACCCAUGGAGAGGGGUCUUUUGUUCCCUGGAGACUGCUCUCAGAUUGGACAAUAGGAAAACUCAUGGAUAAAAUGAUCAGAGAGUUGAGAAUGGCUGGUGUAAGGGUGAGGGAUAUGAGGAGAUGGCUGGAGAUCACCGCCACUCGUCCUAGUCUAUACAGGACACACCCCAGUCUCUAUGGCUGCCCUCGUGGGCCAAGGCUCCGUCAUUUCUUCCUUGGAUUUCAGCCACGACAUGUUAUCAGAACUCCCAACAUCUACUCUCCCCAAAACUUGUCAGAGGGAUCUUUUUACAACAGAAAUCCGAUCACUUCUCUCCCUUGCUUAAAGCAUGAACCCCAAACUCUUGCCCUUGGCUUCUGUGGCGCCCAAGUUUCUGGCCCUUGUUUACCUCUCUCACCUGC